rnacentral:rRNA from 1 species
GACGAACGCUGGCGGCGUGCUUAACACAUGCAAGUCGAGGGGGUGUUUGGGGCGAACCUGGACAUCACCGGCGAACGGGUGCGUAACACGUGAGCGACCUGCCGUACCUGUGGGGGAGUAGCCGGCCCAACGGCCGGGUAAUACCGCAUACGCUUGUCUUGGGGCAUCCUGGGACAAAGAAAGCUUCGGGGCAACCCGCGGCGCAGGACGAGGGGCUCGCGGCCUAUCAGCUAGUUGGCGGGGUAACGGCCCACCAAGGCGGUGACGGGUAGCUGGUCUGAGAGGAUGGCCAGCCACAUUGGGACUGA